GUGCCUAUAUUCUCCAUGCUUUGUUGUUCUGCCUUAGCAUCUUCCAUAAGGUUUCUUUCUGGCUCUGGGGGAUUACCUGAAUGUGAAGCUUAAGUUUAAACUUAUGGAUUGUGAGACUAUAUGAAAUUAAAACAAAACCAACCAAGCACACACAGAAGUGGGAAUCAUACACCUGGGGUAGAAGAAGGUGUUUCAGUCCCUUAUGGCAUUUCCCCAUACCAAGAGGGUUUGUUCUCUCCAGCAGUGAGGCAGCAGCUGCCGUCUCACUACAGAGCAUGACAGAUGGAGAAGAGAAAAACUCUACUCUGUUUUUGGGUAGAAACACAAUCUGACGGUCAUCAGUCUGCCAGUAAAACAGCAACUGGAGCAAUAGCAACCAGUUAUAGAACAUGACCUUCUGGAUUCCCAGCAGCAUCACAUCCUAACUUAAAAGACCUGCACUUUYCUCUCACCACAAAGGUGCUCCCACAGGCUCUGCUGUGCUGGAUAAAACCACUGGAGACCCCUGUGAAAUCUUCCAUCCAUGU